UGGGGAAUAUUGCGCAAUGGGGGGAACCCUGACGCAGCCAUGCCGCGUGAAUGAAGAAGGCCUUAGGGUUGUAAAGUUCUUUCGGUAUUGAGGAAGGUUGAUGUGUUAAUAGCACAUCAAAUUGACGUUAAAUACAGAAGAAGCACCGGCUAACUCCGUGCCAGCAGCCGCGGUAAUACGGAGGGUGCGAGCGUUAAUCGGAAUAACUGGGCGUAAAGGGCACGCAGGCGGUUAUUUAAGUGAGGUGUGAAAGCCCCGGGCUUAACCUGGGAAUUGCAUUUCAGACUGGGUAACUAGAGUACUUUAGGGAGGGGUAGAAUUCCACGUGUAGCGGUGAAAUGCGUAGAGAUGUGGAGGAAUACCGAAGGCGAAGGCAGCCCCUUGGGAAUGUACUGACGCUCAUGUGCGAAAGCGUGGGGAGCAAACAGGAUUAGAUACCCUGGUAGUUCACGCUGUAAACGCUGUCGAUUUGGGGGUUGGGGUUUAACUCUGGCGCCCGUAGCUAACGUGAUAAAUCGACCGCCUGGGGAGUACGGCCGCAAGGUUA
rnacentral:rRNA from 1 species